AGCUUUCGCGCCCAGCCAGAGCGAAGGCCCCGCCCUAAGGAUUCGCACCAAUCCGGAGAAGUCUUUCUACAUGAGGCCACGCCCUCCACCCUGUCCUACCAAUCACGAAGCGCCUUCGGCCAGCCCCGCAAACAGCAAGACAUCAUGAAAGAUAUUCUGCAGCUGACUUCCCUUUGUCCCCUAGAAAUAUCCUGACAAGGGAACAAAAUGUUAACAGUUUAUUUGAGACGCAGACAAGCUGAUUCUAACUUUCAUCUGGACAUGCAAGAGACCCAGAAUAGCCAAAACAGUCUUGAAAAAGAAGAACAAAGUUGGAGGACUGACACUUCCUGAUUUCCAAGCUACAAAGCUAUAGUAAUUGAGACAGUGUGAUUGAUACUAGCAUAAAAAAAGACAAAGAUUGAUAGAAUUGAGAGUCCAAAAAUAAACCCUUACAUUUGCAGUUGAUUGAUUUUGACAAGGGCUGUAGGCCAUGGGGGAAAGAAGUCUUAAACAAAUGGUGCUUGGACAACUGUAUGUACAUGCAAAAGAAUAAAUUUGAACCCUACCUCCCAUCAUAUACAAAAGUAAAUUCCAAAUAGAUCAAAGACCUAAAUGUAAGAGCUAAAACUAUAAAAUGCUUAAAAGACAAGAUAGGAAUAAAUCUUCAUGACUUUGGAUUAGGUUUCUUAGAUAUGAUAGCAAAAACCCACAAGCAAUCAGAGAAAAAUUAGAUUGUUGAAAUUAAAAACUUUUGUGCUUCAGGGGCACCUGGGUGGCUCAGUCGGUUGAAUGUCCAAUUCUUGAUUUUGACUCUGGUCAUGAUCUCAGAGUCCUGGGAUUGAGCCCCAGGUCAGUCUCCACACUCAGUGGGGAAUCUGCUUGAGGAUUUCUCUCCCUCUGCCCCUCCUCACCUCAAAUAAAUAAAUAAAUCUUUUAAAAAAAUAAAAAGAACAGAAGAUUUGAAUCAGCAUUUCUCCAAAGAAGUUAUACAAAUAGACAACAAGUACAUAAAUAGAUGCUCAACACCAUCUGUCCUUAGGGAAAUGUAAACCAAAUACACAAUGAGAUACCACCUCAUACCCAAGAGGAUAGGUAUAAUUUUUUAAAAUCUGAAAAUAAAAAAUAUUGGCAAGAAUGUGGAGAAAUUAGAGCCCUCACACAUUGCUGAUGGGAAUAUAAAAUAGUGUAGCCACUGUGGAAAACAUUUCUUCAAAAAGUUAAACAUAGAGUUAUCAUAUAACCUAGCAAUUCUCCUCCUAGGUAUAUACCCAGAAGUGAAAAGUUAUAUAUCCACACAAAACUUAUAUGUAUCCACACAAAAAUUUGCACAUGGGUGUUCAUAACAGCA